UGGGGGAUAUUGCACAAUGGGGGAAACCCUGAUGCAGCAACGCCGCGUGAAGGAAGAAGGUCUUCGGAUUGUAAACUUUUGUCUUGCGGGACGAAUAAUGACGGUACCGCAGGAGGAAGCCACGGCUAACUACGUGCCAGCAGCCGCGGUAAUACGUAGGGGGCGAGCGUUGUCCGGAAUUACUGGGUGUAAAGGGUGCGUAGGCGGAUUUGCAAGUCAGACGUGAAAACUAUCGGCUUAACCGGUAGCCUGCGUUUGAAACUGUGAGUCUUGAGUGGUGAAGAGGUAAGUGGAAUUCCCAGUGUAGCGGUGAAAUGCGUAGAUAUUGGGAAGAACACCGGUGGCGAAGGCGACUUGCUGGCCAGCAACUGACGCUGAGGCGCGAAAGCCAGGGGAGCAAACG
rnacentral:rRNA from 1 species